AACGUUCUUCUCAUCCUAAAUCCAAAACACAGCACUGUGCCAGCUCCUAGGAAGAAAAUUAACUUUAUCCUAGCUGACACCAGGACAGGUACCCGGCUGCAUGGCACGAUGCCAUCCAGCCCCUGUCUGGACUGCAGAGAGGAUGGUGGGAAAUCAGGAAAAAAAGCCCAGUCUGGAUCUAACUUUUUUAGUUCACUUGGAACUUAGGCACACCAUUACAAACUGGUUAAACCAAAUUGCAAGGGAAGAAGCAAUGUGAGGAUUUUGGGGUGUGUUUUUAAGAUACAGCCUAAUGGCUUUAAACUUCACUCGCUUCCCAGGCAGGCUUUGAUUUCAGUUUCCUUGGCUGCAGCUGACUGCACGCGUCCUCCUGCUGCAGGGGUGGGCUGGGAGCGUGGUGGCUGCCGUGCGCUUGGGUGGCCCUGUCGCCCUCCCCAGCUCCAUGUGCAGCCCCUGCAGCCACGGGGGUGAAAGUCUGGAGUGGGGUGGUGCUGGGCUUGGGAUGACACAGCUGUACGUGGCUGCAGAGGAGGAGUUCUUGUUACCUUGCUCCAGCCGUUUCUGCCUGAGAAGAGGAGGUGGGAGAGGAGGGGGCACAUCUGUGUGAUGCAGGGAAUCUUAAGAGUGCUGGCCCACACAGCAGCGUUCAUAACCGGUUAGGCCACUGUUGCUCUGAUGGCCGGUGGGCAGCGAGACCUGGUGAAGAACUGGUUCUAUUUCUGUCCCCAGGCCAGAGUGGCUUUCUAUACUCAUUUAUUUUUUGGAGUCUUUAAUUUUUUUGCCCGCUUGCCUAAACCAUGCAAGUCACUUUCCAGACCAUUUUUCAUGUCUUUAAAACGUUACCUUCACUUAUGCUUUUCUUUCUGAUGGAAGCAGCUGUUGUCAGCAAAAGGUGUUGAAGUAGCAAGUGCCUAUCUGUAGACAGCACAAAGCGUCAUUGAACCCUGAUAUAACUGGGCUUUUUGGGGGUACCCCAAAAAGAAUUGUACCUACAGUCUUACAGGUCUUCUAUGGUAAGAAAUAGCUGGUUUGGCCAUAAGUAUUUUAUAUUAUGGCUUCCCAGAGCUAUUCCUAGUGCGUAAUUCCUUAGUGAAUGCUUUUUAUUUCUUGUAUCAUUGCAAAAAUACGGUCAAGUGAAGGCUGUGUUCCCUGUUGUAGGUGGGAGAGGUUUUCCUUGGAAAUGGAGGAGUGUGGAGAGUGAGGGUGGCUGCAGGGGUGAGACAAUCAAGAUGCUGGAGUUUGUGGGAAAGCUGUUCCCUUCCCAUUACUUGGUUCAAUGUUGAGACACUUCCGUUUCACAGUAUACUCACCCAUUCUUUACAGAACCCGGUUGAUAAGCCUUGCUCGCAUGUGGUGCCCAUCAGCGGCUACACUAAACUUUUCAUUUGCUUGCAUGUUGAUGGAAUUUUCCAUCUACACUUGCUCCUUAAGACACCUCUUCUUUGAGGAGCUGCUUUGGCUAAUAAAAAAAUCCCACAGUGCUGUGCCUGAUAGUGGCUUUUCUGGAGAAAAGGAACGUACGUGCUCUGAUUAGGGGUUAAAUGCAAAUUCUCCCUGGUUAAAUUAAGGUCUGAUUUCAAAUGAAACCUAAAAAAUAAAGCUUGCAACAUGUAGUUUAAUAAUUUAUGGAGUUAGUCUUGACUUUUGGUCAAAUGUUGUUGUUACUUAAAUAGCUUUGCUGCCAACUGAAUAUAUCAGUGCUGCAGAGAAGACCUAGAUGAGGUUUUUGGGGUAGUUCUGAUGCCAAAAUGCCAACCCUGGAUGACAUUUUGGAGAACAUUGGAGAAUUUGACAGGUUCCAGAAGCAAACUUUCUUUGUCCUGUGUUUGCUUUCUGCUGCCUUCACCCCGGUGUACGUGGGUGUCGUCUUCUUCGGGUUCAUCCCCGAGCAUCGCUGCUCCAGUCCCGGGGUGGCUGAGCUGAGCCAGCGAUGUGGCUGGAGCCUGGAGGAGCAGCUCAAUCACACGGUUCCCGAGUGGGGCAGCCAUGGGGCCGAUUUCAGCAGCCGCUGCAGGAGGUACGAGGUAGACUGGAACACGACGGGUGUCAGCUGCACCGACCCCCCCGGCAGGACCGUCCCCCUCGGUCCCUGCCGGGACGGCUGGGUCUACGACUCCCCGGGGACCUCUCUCGUGACUGAGUUUAACCUGGUGUGUGAGGACUCCUGGAAGCUGGACCUCUUUCAGUCUUCUGUGAACGCUGGGUUUUUUAUUGGCUCCAUAAACAUUGGCUACAUAGCAGACAGGUUUGGACGUAAAUUUUGCCUCUUAAGUACAAUUCUUGCAAAUGUUGUCUGUGGAAUCCUUCUGGUCUUCAUGCCCACCUACCUGUGGAUAGUCAUCCUCCGGUUCUUGCAAGGGCUGGUCAGCAAGGGCUGCUGGAUCGCAGGCUACAUCCUGGCGACGGAAGUUGUCGGUCCGAAGUACCGGAGGACGGUGGGCAUCCUCUACCAGACGGCCUUCUCCGUCGGGCUCCUGGUCUUCGAUGCUAUCGCUUACGCCAUCCCUCACUGGCGGUGGCUGCAGCUCACUGUCACCCUCCCAAGCUGCUUCUUCCUGCUCUACUACUGGUGCCUCCCAGAGUCUCCCAGGUGGCUGAUCUCUCAAGGAAAAAAUGACAAAGCUAUGAAAAUUGUCAGUGAUAUGGCUAAAAAAAAUCAGAAAAAGAUGCCUUCCCAUUUUGAGGAUAUUAAAUUUGAAGCAGAAGAUGGCAGAAAGCAGAGUCCUUCAUUCAUUGACCUUGUCAGGACACCACAGAUGAGAAAAAACACAUUCAUUUUGAUGUACAAUUGGUUCACAAGCUCCGUCCUCUACCAGGGGCUCAUCAUACACAUGGGAGUAGCCGCUGGGAACAUGUAUCUGGAUUUCCUCUAUUCUGCGCUCGUCGAGUUCCCAGCCGCCUUCAUCAUCAUCGUCACCAUCGACCGCAUUGGGCGGCGCUACCCCUGGGCUGCGGCUAACCUGGUGUCUGGGGCUGCCUGCCUCGUCACAGCCCUGAUCCCAGAGGACAUACAUUGGCUAAAAGUGAUUGCUGCCUGCAUCGGGAGAAUGGGAAUCACAAUGGCUUUUGAAAUGGUUUGCUUUGUAAACACUGAACUUUAUCCAACAUACAUCAGGUGGGUGUGUCCUCCUCCCCAUUGGCAUUUGGCCUGCAAACAAAUAGUUGAGGCCGAUGUGUAUGUUACGUUUUAUGCUAAACUGAGUUAUCCUCAAGUGCUUCAGAUCUACACAGGUACUGCUGAGCAUAAAGUAGAUGGAGCAUAAGUGCUUUAAGAAGUAGAUUCAUGAAGGUGACAAAUAUACCUUAAGGCAGAUGAAAACUCACGUGACUGAAAUAAUGGGAAAAGUGGAGACAGCCAGGAUGGAUGAUGGUUCUGAAGUCCCACGUAGUGCUUGGAUUUGUAUCGUGUUUAAAUCAAAAUAACAUUUAAAUGGAUCUGUCUGGAGUGGAGUCUGCUAUGGAGAACAUGUGUUAACUCAAGCCCUUUGCCUGAGGACUGGAUUCUUUCCGUAUUUGAACCUCGGGGUGAUGGUCUGCUCCUCCCUGUGCGAUAUUGGUGGAGUCAUCGUCCCAUUCAUUGUGUACAGACUGGUGG